AGUUGUCAUUUUGUACAGGAAGACUAAAAAAAUGAAAGAAAGUGAUACAGUAUCAGUUCUUUCUCUGGAGGAGGAGAUCGUGCUUCAUCAUGAGUCCUCUGGCAUUGUCUUGGAUCGUCGUAUGGCCGAGAGUAGGCUUCCUUCAAAUUGUGGUUGUGGACGUGCCAUUUCAUCCAUGAGAAACAGCAAAAAAACGUCACUUCAUUGACUUACAAGGAAACUUCCAAUCUUCUUUAAGGCUUCAGACUGGAACCAAGACCCCACUACACUCACAGCAUCAGAGCCACGCUGCUGCUGCUGCUUCUGAACUUCCUCUUCAGGCCACAACCCAAAGCCUGCAACCCCUCCUCACUCAGCCCUGGAUCUACGACCCAGAAAUGGAGCCUGAGCAACAGACCUGGUACUUGGCAGCCAUUUCUGCACCCUUCAUAAGGAAGCGGCAAGCAGGAGGAUUUUAAAAAAAAACACCACAAAACCCUGCAUAGACUUACGUGAACGGACGGAAAGAGAAGUGAGCAGAAGCAGGAGAACGUUGUUCAUAG